rnacentral:tRNA from 1 species
GGCGCCAUAGCCAAGUGGAAAGGCAGAGGUCUGCAAAAACUUUAUCCCCGGUUCAAAUCCGGGUGGUGCCUCCA